rnacentral:lncRNA from 1 species
CCAAAGAUAGAAAAAGAGGAUCAUAUACAAAUUAAAUUCCCGCUGAGAUAGAUCCCUACACCAAUUUUAUAUUUUGAAAAAUUCAAUAGCUUUAUUUAUGUACUGGGCAUGGAUUACAACUCCGAACAAAGUCAUAUACUGAUCCAUAAGGACAAUUGUUAAAAUUCAGCAUCUUCAUUCAUUUCAAAAGAUUAUGCGGCAUUCAAAACAGUGAUAUCACAAACAGUGAAACUCUCUUAUGUAUCUAAUAUAGAUAGAUAUAUGAAGUAGCAGCAGUUGCCUUAAAUAUGUAGGAUAUAACUCUUCCUACAAUUAUUCAGGACAUUCUAUUUACUAAAGAUGUAUCAUGUAUAGGCAUUCAUUACAUUAUACAUGUGUAACACAAGCAUGAUAUAUUACAUUCAUAUAUAACCUGUGUUACACCUAAUCAUUUUUUAAAAUUUAUUAUAAUCAAUAAUCAAGAACAUACAAGUGCAAUAAUUAAUUUUGUUCUUCCUUUGUUGCCUAUUGCACGCAUGUUCUCCAUCUCUUCCUCCAUUCCAUUGAUCCAUAAUUCGGACAUGAUAAAAACCUUCUUCCUGGGUUAGUAUGAGUCCAUGAUGUUUUAAGUUGAGAUGGCCUAUCACAAUCACAUAGUGCAUUCAUGGCUGCAAAUACAAAACAUAUUUAAAUAAGCCUUAGUAAGCCCAAACACAAUGUUUAGUGAUCACAUACAUACCUUCAUUACCAGCUGAUUAGCCGAAACACGUCGUAUAAUGACAAUCACUAUAGUUGUUCAAAUGUGGUCGGAUGUUGAUUAGUGAAUUACAGGAAAGAAUUGUUGAUUGGAACACGUCGUAUAAUAACAAUAACUAUAGUUGCUAUCAAGUUGAAGUUCAGUUGAAUAAACUGUUCCUGAUAAAGUAAAGAGGUACUCAGAUCAAUAUUGAUAUAAUUAAAUAGAUAUAUGGAAUUUUAUCAGUAGCAGCAUAAUCUAAAAUUAGACCAUACAACAAAAAAAAAGUUGAAGCAGGAAAAAACUGUCUUAUCUGUUAUUUUUUACCACUUAUGCUAGUUCCACACUCACAUUCAGAUGAUCACAUGGAGGUGAAUUUCCAUUAAUACUAGUCUUCUUGACGAAAUCAAGGUAAUAAUUAUUAAAGUAAUGACAACUUAUCAUUAAGGUUGAGAAUGAAGUUUUGAAUACUGUAAUAUAGUGAACUUUCAUGGAUGAUGUUGCAACUUCUUUUAUUUUUUGGUAUAUAUUUUAUCAUAUAUUGAAAUCAUAGUUGGUUUGGUGCUCGCGUGCUUUGUGAAAUAUUGAAUGUCGUCAUGACUAAAUAUAUGUUUUGUCUACUUUCAUAAAGAUAGAUUUGGUGGAGAACUUUGUUGGUAAUCUUUUCUUAUAUGGCUUUUGCUAUAUAAGUCAAUGUAUUGGAGAUUGAGUACAUUGUAUAAGUUGAUUGAACUCAAUAAUUUUAAAACUCCCAAACAGGGGGAGGGGACUCAAAAAUCUAACAAAAACAUUGAUGUUCAAACAAAUACAAACAGAAAUAUUGGUACAAUAGGAUCUAUAUUGGUACUAACUAUGUCUGAAAGAAAAAUAAAUGAUCACCAAGAUAUGCCUACUUCUAAAUACAAAAGGUGAAUACAGAACAAGUACAGAAUACAGAACAAUAAUACAAAAGGCUGAAUUUCAAUUGAUUCCACAAGUGUAGUAAAAAUUACUUUUAGCUUUAACAAUUCAAAAUACAGAACUCAACUCCAUCCCAAUGCCAUAAUACAGAACAAAAACACACAGUAAUUUUGCAGAUUAUAGGAUUUGAGGAUCAUAAAUUUUAAGCUCUACAAAGCUAUUAUUAAACACCAAAUCAUAAAUUGGACCCUCUAUAAGCCUGAUUUCAACCCAUAAAACAAGAAAAUCAUCACCCAAAGUUCUAAUUUUGUUACCUUGCCACUGAAUCGACGAGAAAGGGCAAAGGGACCGUUGGAUGCGAAGGCGUCGAUUCUGUAUGGAAGAGAGAGGGAGAAGGCAGAGAUAUAUAUCGCGAAGUGAAGGGAGAAGGCAGAGAUUCCUCAGGCGGCUUAGAGAGGGAGAAGGGGUUUCAGUCUUCGCGUAGGUGAGGGAGAUGGGUUUCAGUCUUUCGCGACGAGAGGGAGAGAGCUGAGAAAAAAAAUGCGAUUUUUUUUUGGCUGAGAUUUUAAUUAGGAGAGAGAAGAAAAAGGAGGGUAUAUAUAGGUGAGUUGGG